UUCGGAAAACAAACGUAGGUGGGUUUGUAAGUCAGAUGUGAAAGCCUUCUGUUCAAAGGAAGAACGGCAUCUGAAACUGCAGAUCUUGAGUGUAGGAGGGGAGAGUGGAACUUCUGGUGGAGCGGUGAAAUGCGUAGAUAUCAGAAGGAACGUCGGCGGCGAAAGCGACUCUCUGGCCUAUUACUGACACUGAGUGUGCGAAAGUUAGGGGAGCAAACGGGAUUAGAUACCCCGGUAGUCCUAACUGUAAACGAUGGGCACUAAGUAGAGGGGUUCUAA
rnacentral:rRNA from 1 species